rnacentral:rRNA from 1 species
GUAAUGCUUGGGAACUUGCCUUUAGGUGGGGGAUAACAGUUGGAAACGACUGCUAAUACCGCAUAAUGUCUACGGACCAAAGGGGGCUUCGGCUCUCGCCUUGAGAGAGGCCCAAGUGAGAUUAGCUAGUUGGUGGGGUAAAGGCCUACCAAGGCAACGAUCUCUAGCUGUUCUGAGAGGAAGAUCAGCCACACUGGGACUGAGACACGGCCCAGACUCCUACGGGAGGCAGCAGUGGGGAAUAUUGCACAAUGGGGGAAACCCUGAUGCAGCCAUGCCGCGUGUGUGAAGAAGGCCUUCGGGUUGUAAAGCACUUUCAGUUGUGAGGAAAGGUUGGUAGUUAAUACCUGCCAGCUGUGACGUUAACAACAGAAGAAGCACCGGCUAACUCCGUGCCAGCAGCCGCGGUAAUACGGAGGGUGCGAGCGUUAAUCGGAAUUACUGGGCGUAAAGCGCACGCAGGCGGCUUGUUAAGCUAGAGGUGAAAGCCCCGCGCUCAACGUGGGAACUGCCUUUAGAACUGGCAGGCUAGAGUCUUGGAGAGGGGAGUGGAAUUCCAGGUGUAGCGGUGAAAUGCGUAGAUAUCUGGAGGAACAUCAGUGGCGAAGGCGGCUCCCUGGCCAAAGACUGACGCUCAUGUGCGAAAGUGUGGGUAGCGAACAGGAUUAGAUACCCUGGUAGUCCACACCGUAAACGCUGUCUACUAGCUGUUUGUGUAUUUAAUACGUGAGUAGCGAAGCUAACGCGCUAAGUAGACCGCCUGGGGAGUACGGCCGCAAGGUUAAAACUCAAAUGAAUUGACGGGGGGCCCGCACAAGCGGUGGAGCAUGUGGUUUAAUUCGAUGCAACGC